GAUGAACGCUAGCGGCAGGCCUAAUACAUGCCAGUCGAACGGGAUCCAGAUCAAAGCUUGCUUUGGUUUGGUGAGAGUGGCGCACGGGUGCGUAACGCGUGAGCAACCUACCCUUGUCAGGGGGAUAGCCCGGCGAAAGUCGGAUUAAUACCGCAUGACAUCAUUGAGAGGCAUCUUUCGAUGAUCAAAGAUUUAUCGGACAAGGAUGGGCUCGCGUGACAUUAGCUAGUUGGUAAGGUAACGGCUUACCAAGGCUACGAUGUCUAGGGGCUCUGAGAGGAGAAUCCCCCACACUGGUACUGAGACCCGGACCAGACUCCUACGGGAGGCAGCAGUAAGGAAUAUUGGUCAAUGGACGGAAGUCUGAACCAGCCAUGCCGCGUGCAGGAAGACGGCCCUAUGGGUUGUAAACUGCUUUUAUACGGGAACAAACGUCGGUACGUGUACCGGUCUGAGUGUACCGUAAGAAUAAGGAUCGGCUAACUCCGUG
rnacentral:rRNA from 1 species